GUUGCGGUUAAAAGGCUCGUAGUUGAACUGCAGAGGACAGUUCCAUCACUGUUAAGGGGCUCCGGCCCUACAGGUAUUGGUGACUGUGUCGUUUCUGAACAAGCGUGCAUGGCAGUCCCGAUGAGUGCGCUCUGAAAGGACGCAUGUGCGCAUUUUACUGUGAACAAAUGUGAGUGUUCAAAGCAGGUUGCGGCCUGAAGAUAUUAGCAUGGGAUAACGAAAUACGACCUUUCUGGUCUGUUGGUUUAACAGAAUGGGCAAUGAUCGACAGGGACAGUUGGGGUCGAUGGUAUUGACUGGUUAGAGAUGAAAUUCUAUGACCCAGUCAAGACCGACAAGAGCGAAAGCAUUCGACAAGGAUGUUUUCUUUGAUCAAGAACGAAAGUUGAGGGCGCGAAGAUGAUCAGAUACCGUUGUAGUCUCAACUAUAAACUAUGUCGACUUGGGAUCGGAGGGUGUUACAUGGAUGACCUCUCCGGGACCAUGUGAGAAAUCACAAGUAACCAGACUCCGGGGGGAGUAUGGUCGCAAGACUGAAACUUAAAGGAAUUGACGGAAGGGCACCACCAGGAGUGGAGUCUGCGGCUUAAUUUGACGCAACACGGGGAAACUUACCAAGUCCGAACAUGACGAGGAUUGACAGACUGAUAGAUUUUUCUUGAUUUUAUGACAAGUGGUGCAUGGCCGUUUUUAGUUGGUGGUGUGAUCUGUCUGGUUAAUUCCGAUAACGAACGAGAUCUUAGCUUAUUGACUAGGCUUCCAAAAGGUGGUUUGGUGCCAUGCUCCGGCAUUGCAUCAUUCCGUUAACUCUUUGGUCGUCUUCUCAAGAGGACCUUUCACCCAUCAAGUGGAACGAAGCGUGAGGCAACAACAGGUCUGUGAUGCCCUUAGAUGUUUUGGGCUGCACGCGCAUUACACUGCCGUGCUCAGAGAGUAAUAGUGAUCCUAACCUUUAGAACGGUGGGGUACACUUUGAAUACAUCAUGUGACUGGGAUUGUGCUUUGUAAUUAUCGCACAUCAACGAGGAAUUCCUAGUAAAUACAAGUCAUCAGCUUGUGUUGACUAAGUCCCUGCCCUUUGUGCACACCGCCCAUCGCUCCUACCGAUUGGAUGAUCCGGUGAGGAUUUGAGAUGUCUUGUCUCUCGUUUUUCGGGUGGCAUAACAGAACCUAUCCAAACCUUGCCAUUUACAGGAAGGAGAAGUUGUA
rnacentral:rRNA from 1 species